GACGAACGCUGGCGGCGUGCUUAACACAUGCAAGUCGAACGAUGAAGCUGGAGCUUGCUCCGGUGGAUUAGUGGCGAACGGGUGAGUAACACGUGAGCAAUCUGCCCUUGACUCUGGGAUAACUGCGGGAAACUGUAGCUAAUACCGGAUACGACACCUUGGGGCAUCCCGGGGUGUGGAAAGAAUUUCGGUCAAGGAUGAGCUCGCGGCCUAUCAGCUUGUUGGUGAGGUAAAGGCUCACCAAGGCGACGACGGGUAGCCGGCCUGAGAGGGUGACCGGCCACACUGGUACGGAGACACGGUCCAGACUCCUACGGGAGGCAGCAGUGGGGAAUAUUGCACAAUGGGCGAAAGCCUGAUGCAGCAACGCCGCGUGAGGGAUGACGGCCUUCGGGUUGUAAACCUCUUUUAGCAGGGAAGAAGCGAAAGUGACGGUACCUGCAGAAAAAGCACCGGCUAACUACGUGCCAGCAGCCGCCGUAA
rnacentral:rRNA from 1 species